rnacentral:rRNA from 1 species
AUUGAACGCUGGCGGCAUGCCUUACACAUGCAAGUCGAACGGCAGCGGGGACUUCGGUCCGCCGGCGAGUGGCGAACGGGUGAGUAAUGUAUCGGAACGUACCAUUCAGUGGGGGAUAACUAUCCGAAAGGAUAGCUAAUACCGCAUAUUCUGUGAGCAGGAAAGCAGGGGAUCGCAAGACCUUGAGCUGAUUGAGCGGCCGAUAUCAGAUUAGCUAGUUGGUGAGGUAACGGCUCACCAAGGCUACGAUCGGUAGCGGGUCUGAGAGGAUGAUCCGCCACACUGGGACUGAGACACGGCCCAGACUCCUACGGGAGGCAGCAGUGGGGAAUUUUGGACAAUGGGCGCAAGCCUGAUCCAGCCAUGCCGCGUGAGUGAAGAAGGCCUUCGGGUUGUAAAGCUCUUUCGGCCGGGAAGAAAUCGCAUCAGCUAAUACCUGGUGUGGAUGACGGUACCGGAAUAAGAAGCACCGGCUAACUACGUGCCAGCAGCCGCCGUAAAAC